CACGUAGUUAGCCGGGGCUUCUUAGUCAGGUACCGUCAUUUUCUUCCCUGCUGAUAGAGCUUUACAUACCGAAAUACUUCUUCACUCACGCGGCGUCGCUGCAUCAGGGUUUCCCCCAUUGUGCAAUAUUCCCCACUGCUGCCCCCCGUAGGAGUUUGGGCCGUGUCUCAGUCCCAAUGUGGCCGUCCGCCCUCUCAGGCCGGCUACCGAUCGUCGCUUUGGUGGGCCGUUACCCCGCCAACUGGCUAAUCAGACGCGGAUCCAUCGUAUGCCGAUAAAUCUUUUCACACCGUACCAUGCGGUACUGUGCGUCUUAUGCGGUAUUAGCAGCUGUUCCAACUGUUACUCCCCCUGCAUACGGCAGGUUACUCCACGUCGUUACUCCACCCGUCCGCCACUAACUCGGAAUCACUUAGGUUUCAACUCCGACGUCCCGUUCGACCUUGCUAUGUGUUAGCACGCCGCCAGUCGUCAUCCUGACGCCAGGACUACAAACUCU
rnacentral:rRNA from 1 species